GCCUUAGCUCAGUGACUGAGCAUCUGCUUUGUAUGCAGAAGGCUAUGGCUUCAAUCCCUGGAAUCACCA